rnacentral:rRNA from 1 species
GACGAACCGAGCGAACGUUAUUCGGAAUCACUGGGCUUAAAGGGUGCGUAGGCGGGCCCGUCAGUCAGGGGUGAAAUCCCACGGCCCAACCGUGGAAGUGCCUCUGAUACUGCGGGCCUGGAGGGGGAUAGGGGCGUGCGGAACUUCCGGUGGAGCGGUGAAAUGCGUAGAUAUCGGAAGGAACACCGGUGGCGAAAGCGGCGCGCUGGAUCCCUACUGACGCUGAGGCACGAAAGCGUGGGGAGCAAACAGG